AAAUUGAAGAGUUUGAUCAUGGCUCAGAUUGAACGCUGGCGGCAGGCCUAACACAUGCAAGUCGAACGGUAGCACAGAGAGCUUGCUCUCGGGUGACGAGUGGCGGACGGGUGAGUAAUGUCUGGGAAACUGCCUGAUGGAGGGGGAUAACUACUGGAAACGGUAGCUAAUACCGCAUAACGUCGCAAGACCAAAGAGGGGGACCUUCGGGCCUCUUGCCAUCAGAUGUGCCCAGAUGGGAUUAGCUAGUAGGUGGGGUAACGGCUCACCUAGGCGACGAUCCCUAGCUGGUCUGAGAGGAUGACCAGCCACACUGGAACUGAGACACGGUCCAGACUCCUACGGGAGGCAGCAGUGGGGAAUAUUGCACAAUGGGCGCAAGCCUGAUGCAGCCAUGCCGCGUGUAUGAAGAAGGCCUUCGGGUUGUAAAGUACUUUCAGCGGGGAGGAAGGUGUUGCGGUUAAUAACCGCAGCAAUUGACGUUACCCGCAGAAGAAGCACCGGCUAACUCCGUGCCAGCAGCCGCGGUAAUACGGAGGGUGCAAGCGUUAAUCGGAAUUACUGGGCGUAAAGCGCACGCAGGCGGUCUGUCAAGUCGGAUGUGAAAUCCCCGGGCUCAACCUGGGAACUGCAUUCGAAACUGGCAGGCUAGAGUCUUGUAGAGGGGGGUAGAAUUCCAGGUGUAGCGGUGAAAUGCGUAGAGAUCUGGAGGAAUACCGGUGGCGAAGGCGGCCCCCUGGACAAAGACUGACGCUCAGGUGCGAAAGCGUGGGGAGCAAACAGGAUUAGAUACCCUGGUAGUCCACGCCGUAAACGAUGUCGACUUGGAGGUUGUUCCCUUGAGGAGUGGCUUCCGGAGCUAACGCGUUAAGUCGACCGCCUGGGGAGUACGGCCGCAAGGUUAAAACUCAAAUGAAUUGACGGGGGCCCGCACAAGCGGUGGAGCAUGUGGUUUAAUUCGAUGCAACGCGAAGAACCUUACCUACUCUUGACAUCCAGAGAACUUAGCAGAGAUGCUUUGGUGCCUUCGGGAGCUCUGAGACAGGUGCUGCAUGGCUGUCGUCAGCUCGUGUUGUGAAAUGUUGGGUUAAGUCCCGCAACGAGCGCAACCCUUAUCCUUUGUUGCCAGCGGUUAGGCCGGGAACUCAAAGGAGACUGCCAGUGAUAAACUGGAGGAAGGUGGGGAUGACGUCAAGUCAUCAUGGCCCUUACGAGUAGGGCUACACACGUGCUACAAUGGCGCAUACAAAGAGAAGCGACCUCGCGAGAGCAAGCGGACCUCAUAAAGUGCGUCGUAGUCCGGAUUGGAGUCUGCAACUCGACUCCAUGAAGUCGGAAUCGCUAGUAAUCGUAGAUCAGAAUGCUACGGUGAAUACGUUCCCGGGCCUUGUACACACCGCCCGUCACACCAUGGGAGUGGGUUGCAAAAGAAGUAGGUAGCUUAACCUUCGGGAGGGCGCUUACCACUUUGUGAUUCAUGACUGGGGUGAAGUCGUAACAAGGUAACCGUAGGGGAACCUGCGGUUGGAUCACCUCCUUACCUUAAAGAA
rnacentral:rRNA from 1 species